UCUGGUUGAUCCUGCCAGUAGUCAUAUGCUUGUCUCAAAGACUAACUCAUGCAUGUCUAAGUAUAAGUUUUAUACGGCGAAACUGCGAAUGGCUCAUUAAAACAGUUAUAGUUUACUUGAUAAUCAAAUUUACAUGGAUACCCGUGGUAAUUCUAGAGCUAAUACAUGCUGUUAUGCCCGACUUACGAAGGGCGGUAUUUAUUAGAUAACAACCAAUAUUCUUCGUGUCUAUUGUGGUGAUUCAUAAUAACUUUCGAAUCGCACGGUCUUUGACCGCGAUAAUUCAUUCAAGUUUCUGCCCCAUCAGCUUUCGAUGGUAGUGUAUUGGACUACCAUGGCAAUAACGGGUAACGGAGAAUUAGGGUUCGAUUCCGGAGAGGGAGCCUGAGAAACGGCUACCACAUCUAAGGAUGGCAGCAGAGGCGUAAAUUACCCAAUCCUGACUCAGGGAGGUAGUGACAAGAAAUAACGAACCGUGACAUUGUUACGGGAUUGCAAUGAGCCGAUUUUUUUUCCCUUGGUGAGGAGCAAUUGGAGGGCAAGUCUGGUGCCAGCAGCCGCGGUAAUUCCAGCUCCAAUAGCAUAUAUUAAUGUUGUUGCAGUUAAAAAGCUCGUAGUUGGAUUUCUGCAGGAGUGUCAAUGUCCACCCACGUGUGAGUUGCAGCGACGCUCCUGCAUCCUUCGGUUACCUCCGCUCGGCAUUCACUUGCCGGCGGUUGGCUCCGAAUAUUUACCUUGAGAAAAUUAGAGUGUUUCAGGCAGGCUAAGCCGGAAUACAUUAGCAUGGAAUAAUAGAAUAGGACUACGGUCUCGUUGUUGGUUUGAGGGACUGGAGUAAUGAUUAAUAGGGAUAGUUGGGGGCAUUAGUAUUUAAUUGUCAGAGGUGAAAUUCUCAGAUUAACUAAAGACUAACUUAUGCGAAAGCAUUUGCCAAGGAUGUUUUCAUUAAUCAAGAACGAAAGUUAGGGGAUCAAAGACGAUCAGAUACCGUCCUAGUCUUAACCAUAAACUAUGCCGACUCGGGAUCGGGGGCGUGUACUAUCCGCCUUCGGCACCGUAUGAGAAAUCAAAGUCUUUGGGUUCUGGGGGGAGUAUGGUCGCAAGGCUGAAAC
rnacentral:rRNA from 1 species